UCCCGAAAAAGAUCCGAAUCGUUUGUGAAUCUCAUCACUGUUAGAAAUCCAAGAGAAGAGAUCCUCUUCCCUUAACACAGAAUGGAAUCAUCAGAGGAAAAAUCUGCUUCUUAAUCAAUUAGUUUCAGCGUUUGCUGUAAUUCAUAACGCGCUCUGUGACCCUCAGGACUCUGUGGUCUGUGUGUUCUGGUAUCUGCUGAGUCACCAGAAAUCUGCCAAGACACUGACACUUGCGCCUGCUCCAACAUCUGGCACAUAAGGGCUUUAAGGUUUCCAGAACCAAGCUGCAAUAUUGCAUGGACACUUAAGUAUAUGAACUUUUGAAGUUUUGAACUUUCUCAAGGCUGUCAUUCUAGACACAAAACACCCUGCAACUAAACAUGCACUGAUGUCUUUUCUGAGUCAGAAAAUGGAUCCCUGACUGCUCUUUAUAUGACAAGCUUCUCCGUUCCGCAAUCUCUCAUCACGAUCCACUGCAACAUCCUUUGACCUGGACUGACGCUAUGGUGGUCGCUUAUCACUCCCUCAGAAGCACCCUUUGUUCCGCCCCUGGGUUACCUGCUCACUUCAAGCCCUUCCACCUCUAUGCCUGUGAACACCAAGGCACAGCCUCUGGGGAGCAUGAGGGGGGGGGAAAUGCAUCAUUGUGCAUUUUUAUCCAAAACAUUAGACAUUGUUGCUCAAGGCUUACCUGCGUGUCUGGGGGCUGUCUCCGCAUGUGCUUUGAUGGUUUUAGAUGCGGAAAAGUUGGUUUUGUCUCACCCAUUGAUCUUGCACUCGUCACAUCAAGUUAAACAGGUGUUGCAAAAUUUAUAGACCCAUUAAAUUAAUUUAUCAGUAAUUUAAUAGAUAAUUAAAUUAACAUAUGACUAUUUAUUCUCUGUUCUACUAACAAUCUCGAAAUUUGUGUCACAUCCUGUAGGUCGCGCUCUCCCACGCCUCCUUAAUUCUCAGGAUGACACUUGGGAUGACAUUGAUAUUGUCUGUCUAAAAAUCGUGCAUACUACUAGUAUCAGGUCUGAUUUCUUCCCUCCAGCCCUCUAGGGAUCUUUGUUGGUGGUUUUUGUUCUAAACCCUCAGACGGUUCUUGUUUUAUAAUUUAUAAUAUUAUCACACCUCUGUGGUUAUUCUGUGUGUUCAAUCAAUAUCAACCUGAUAUUCUGCAUGAGACAUACGCUCUUCCUUUCUCAUUUGAUUUUUGUCAUCUUGAUUGUGGACAAAUUCUCUAAAUGGGUAGAAGUUUUUUCCUGUUUUCGAGAGAACACGAAGGUAGUUACUCGUUUUAAUACCUAGUUAUAAUAAUAAUAAUGAUACAUUUUAUUUAUAAGUGCCUUUCAAGGUACCCAAGGACACUGGACAGUAAAAAAGAAAAACAAACAAUAAAAGCAGAACAAUAAAAUAACAACAAUAAAAUAAUAAGAAAUCAAUAAUAAUAAUUAUUGUUAUAUUUAUGGGGUUUCAAAUACCAUAGACUCAGACAAAGGUACCCCUUUUCACCUCAAAAGUCACACACUUACUUUGUAAGUAUCUCUAAACUAAACUGGUGUUUUCACAUUCCUAAAUCCUCUGGUAUCGUAGAACGUACUAAUCGAACAUUGAAAGACAAAUUAAUUAAGGUCAUGCAGGACACAGGUUUGGUUCUGUAAUCCAUAAUUCAUUCUGGCUGAAAUUCGUGUGACACCAAGAAAUUAUUCUCCCCUGGAAGAAGGGAUCUCUGGCUCCGGGUACCUCUGAUUUGAAAAUGCAUAUGGAUGAGUAUUCUGCAGCCCUUAUAGAUAAGUUGCAUAAAAUUUGUACUAAGGUCAAUAAUACAAUAUUAUCUCCACCACACACCCCUUUCACGUGGGAGACAAGUGCUGGUGUGACUUUUUAAAGUAAUGAUUUGGACAAUUGGGAAAACAAUAUAGUGGGCCUGCAGACAUAGUCGCCAUUACUUUUACUGCUGUUUUAACUGAUCUUUUUCCACAGUGGAUCCAUGCCAUGCGAUUGAAGAAGGCUCCAUAACAAAGUUGUGUUACAAUGACAAGUUUGCUACUAACGUUUUCUGUGUCCCGAGAAUCUCUGUUCUCUCUCUCUCUGUCUCUCUAUUUCUGAGCUCUACACAGAUUCGACUGAGAAUCCUCAAGACGUUGUGAACAAAGAGGGGAAGAGAUCUUGCGCCCCGUUUGGAACCAAUCAUCCUCACUACAACCAUGACAGUCCUCAUCACGGGUUUCGUGACUUCAUUGUUGCUUGGGGCAGGGCUACCCGCCCGAGCCUUCGUGACUGCUUCAUCUUUGCUCGGGGCAGGGUUACCCGCCCGAGCUGGACUUCGAGACAACAUCUUCUGGACUAACUUCGCUAACUGGACUGCACAAGCGCACACCACACGGAUGUGUUAUGUCUUUCAUCUGAUGCCGUUUUCUACUAUUAUUACACAUCUCUAUGCUCUGAAACUCUGUAUUCUUACAGGACUCUGUUCUCACUAUAGGUCGAUAUGCCUUCUAAUUUCAUUUUCCCUCACUGUUUUAGAACAAAUUACUCUGAAGGAAGUAGCGUGUUUUAUAAUUAAGAGGUUUUGAGUUUCUCUAAGCUCCGGUGAGGUGGGACGAGGGCUGAUCGGGCAUGCCCGCCCUCUGAGCACCAAUAUACGUCAAGAAGGGCAAAGAUUAACUCAAGAUUAAUUCUCGAUGUAAUCACAUAUAUGAUCAUGAGGUGAUAAUGAUCAAAUAUGAUCCUAGGAUUUGAUAAUAGUGAUACUAUUAUCAAAGGGGGGGAUUGUUAGGUUUAUAUAAGUAUUAUUCUUGACCAAGAAGGCAGUAAUUUAUUAAAAUGGUGACAAAAUUAAUGAUUCAGUUAAAAUGACCUUCUGUCUCGGCUGGACAUUGUCUGGGAACAUUUUGUUUAUGUUUGAUAUGAAAUGUGUAUUAUUGAUCAGAUAUGUGUCUAAACAGCGCCUGGAGGUCUACAUAUGAUGUCAGACACACCAACACACACUCACAACUGCAUAUCCAAGGAUUGAAUGUAGUUUUAUAAUUACAGAAUAUAACUUAGGAUUGUUAAGACUUUAUGAUUCUAAUGUUAAAGAUUUUAUGAGUUUAAUCCUGAAUCCUGUCCUCCGGUGAAGUAGCAUUUCUUUGCUUUGCCAGACAUAUUCUUAUUUUUCGUAUGACUGUUUUGUUUAAGUUUGUUCUUAUUUUGUUUAUAACAUAUAACAUAUAUUUAUAACAUAUCUUUGUUAAAAUUGUUUGUUAUUUUGCUUAUGAUUGUCUUACUACAUAUUGCUGAAAUCAAGAUGUAAUUUGCUGACUUAGCACAAGACACACAUUCAUGUGUUAAGAGUUAUGAUUUUAAUAUUUUUAGCUUUUCAUCUUUUAGCUUUUAGAUCCUUUAAAACUAUUGCUGUUUAAAUUGGUAUUAAUGUCUGAUGUAUUUUUCUUUGAUUAGACUUCGUAGACUAGAUAUAUUAUCUGUGUUUAAGUACAUAGUGCCCUGACCUGAAGGGGGGUACGUAAGCAAUGACCUUUAAGAUGUCUGAACAAUGAAGUAAUUAAGACCUGCUCAUAUACACACACACACACACACACACACACACACACACACACACACACACACACACACAAUAGACACAGAUAUCAAAAUGAUGUCACUCACUCACACCCCCCCUAUAUGCACAUACACACAUAGAUCAAACAGUGAUGUCAUUUCAUCAGAUAAUAUCCACAUAUAUAUCCACCCUCUGUAUUCCUGUCCAAUUGGGGAACUUGCGAAUAAAGAUGUGAACUACA